UACGGAGGGUGCAAACGUUAAUCGGAAUUACUGGGCGUAAAGCGUGCGUAGACGGUUACAUAAGUCGGGUGUGAAAGCCCCGGGCUCAACCUGGGAAUUGCAUUCGAGACUGCGUAGCUAGGGUGCGGAAGAGGGAAGCGGAAUUUCCGGUGUAGCGGUGAAAUGCGUAGAUAUCGGAAGGAACACCAGUGGCGAAAGCGGCUUCCUGGUCCAGCACCGACGUUCAGGCACGAAAGCGUGGGGAGCAAACAGG
rnacentral:rRNA from 1 species